UCCGACUAACAGGCGAUUAAACGAAAAUGGUGGACACCUGUUACAAUGGUGCUUUAUAAUGUACCUCUAAUCACCUGCAAAAUAUCAAAAAAGAUCUCAGCAGUAAACAUUCCAAAGAGAUCACUUUUUUCCUCCAUGAGCGACCAAAGGAUCAAAAUGAAGACGUCAUGUUAUCAUGCUAUCAUGUUUCCAUUAGGAUUAGAUCAUAUUCACGACGAAUGCCACGACGGCUUUGUUACAAUACCUUGUCAAACAAAAUGUAAUACUCAAGAUAUGAAAAAGUUCAAAAAUAAUAAUUCACUCGAAUUUAUAGAUGACGAUGGCACCCACGGAAAACAGAAUCUCGCUGUGAUACAAUCAUGGAUUGAUCGGAUGGACGAAACACUGAAACAUCAUAAGAAGUUGCAGCAGGAAGAAAUCUGGUCACGAGUUCUCCAAUGAUUUAGUUCAUAAUUUUGUGCACAAACAAGUCUCCACCGUUUUACUCAAGAAUCAUAUCUUAUCAAAAGCUUUUAGCUGGCCAAAAGUAUAUGAACACAUAUCAUUUUUUAUUUUAUAGAAAUUGUUUCAAGUCUAACUCUGAAGCGGAUGGAAUGAUACUAAUGUCAAGUUUAAAAAUUGGUAUCACAACCUUGUAACAAGAAGAGCAAAUUCUCAG